UACGUAGGGGGCGAGCGUUGUCCGGAUUUAUUGGGCGUAAAGGGCGUGUAGGCGGCCUGUUAAGUCGGGGGUGAAAACUCGGGGCUCAACCCCGAGCCUGCCUCCGAAACUGGUAGGCUUGAGUGCUCUAGAGGGCAGUGGAAUUCCCGGUGUAGCAGUGAAAUGCGUAGAGAUCGGGAGGAACACCAGUGGCGAAGGCGACUGCCUGGGGAGUAACUGACGCUGAGGCGCGAAAGCUGGGGGAGCAAAC
rnacentral:rRNA from 1 species